rnacentral:tRNA from 1 species
GACAGCGUGGCGUAGUGAUUUGAGUGUUGGACUGCGACUCUGGAGAUCAGGGUUCAAGUCCCUGCUUGGCU